rnacentral:rRNA from 1 species
AGUUCGAUUCUGGCUCAGAUUGAACGCUGGCGGGAUGCUCUACACAUGCAAGUCGAACGGCAGCACGGACUUCGGUCUGGUGGCGAGUGCGGCGAACGGGUGAGUAAUGUAUCGGAACGUGCCUAGUAGCGGGGAUAACUACGCGAAAGCGUAGCUAAUACCGCAUACGCCCUUCGGGGGAAAGCGGGGACCUUCGGGCCUCGCACUAAUAGAGCGGCCGAUAUCGGAUUAGCUAGUUGGUGGGGUAACGGCUCACCAAGGCGACGAUCCGUAGCUGGUUUGAGAGGACCAGCCACACUGGGACUGAGACACGGCCCAGACUCCUACGGGAGGCAGUGGGGAAUUUUGGACAAUGGGGGAAACCCUGAUCCAGCCAUCCCGCGUGUGCGAUGAAGGCCUUCGGGCUGUAAAGCACUUUGGCAGGAAAGAAACGGCACGGGAUAAUACCCCGUGCAACUGACGGUACCUGCAGAAUAAGCACCGGCUAACUACGCCACACAGCAGCCGCGGUAAUACGUAGGGUGCAAGCGUUAACUGGAAUUACUGGGCGUAAAGCGUGCGCAGGCGGUUCGGAAAGAAAGAUGUGAAAUCCAGAGCUUAACUUUGGAACUGCAUUUUUAACUUACCGAGCUAGAGUGUGUCAGAGGGAGGUGGAAUUCUGCGUGUAGCAGUGAAAUGCGUAGAUAUGCGGAGGAACACCGAUGGCGAAGGCAGCCUCCUGGGAUAACACUGACGUCGCACGAAAGCGUGGGGAGCAAACAGGAUUAGGGAUACCUCGGUAGUCCACGCCCUAAACGAUGUCAACUAGAUGCUGGGGCCUCGGCCUUGGUAGCGCAGCUAACGCGUGAAGUUUAACUGCCUGGGGUACGGUCGCAAGAUUAAAACUCAAAGGAAUUGACGGGGACCCGCACAAGCGGUGGAUGAUGUGGAUUAAUUCGAUGCAACGCGAAAACCUUACCUACCCUUGACAUGUCUGGAAUCCCGAAGAGAUUUGGGAGUGCUCGCAGAGAACCGGAACACAGGUGCUGCAUGGCUGUCGUCAGCUCGUGUCGAGAUGUUGGGUUAAGUCCCGCAACGAGCGCAACCCUUGUCAUUAGUUGCUACGAAAGGGCACUCUAAUGAGACUGCCGGUGACAAACCGGAGGAAGGUGGGGAUGACGUCAAGUCCUCAUGGCUCCCGGCGGCGGGUAGGGCUUUCACACGUCAUACAAUGGUCGGGACAGAGGGUCGCCAACCCGCGAGGGGGAGCCAAUCCCAGAAACCCGAUCGUAGUCCGGAUCGCAGUCUGCAACUCGACUGCGGAAGUCGGAAUCGCUAGUAAUCGCGGAUCAGCAUGUCGGUGGUGAAUACGUUCCCGGGUCUUGUACACACCGCCCGUCACACCAUGGGAGGGUCACCAGAAGUAGUUAGCCUAACCGUAAGGAGGGCGAUUACCACGGGUAGGAUUCAUGACUGUGGUGAAGUCGUAACAAGGUAA